GCAGUGGGAGUUUAGUGUUAGAAUUUUUGCCUUCCAUGCCAGAACCUGGGUUAGAGUCCCAGCCAAUGCA
rnacentral:tRNA from 1 species